rnacentral:rRNA from 1 species
GACGACGGGUAGCCGGCCUGAGAGGGCGACCGGCCACACUGGGACUGAGACACGGCCCAGACUCCUACGGGAGGCAGCAGUGGGAAUAUUGCACAAUGGGCGAAAGCCUGAUGCAGCGACGCCGCGUGAGGGAUGACGGCCUUCGGGUUGUAAACCUCUUUCAGCAGGGAAGAAGCGAAAGUGACGGUACCUGCAGAAGAAGCACCGGCUAACUACGUGCCAGCAGCCGCGGUAAUACGUAGGGUGCGAGCGUUGUCCGGAAUUAUUGGGCGUAAAGAGCCUGUAGGCGGUUUGUCGCGUCUGCUGUGAAAAUCCGGGGCUCAACCCCGGACUUGCAGUGGGUACGGGCAGACUAGAGUGUGGUAGGGGAGACUGGAAUUCCUGGUGUAGCGGUGAAAUGCGCAGAUAUCAGGAGGAACACCGAUGGCGAAGGCAGGUCUCUGGGCCACUACUGACGCUGAGAAGCGAAAGCAUGGGGAGCGAACAGGAUUAGAUACCCUGGUAGUCCAUGCCGUAAACGUUGGGAACUAGGUGUGGGUCUCAUUCCACGAGAUCCGUGCCGCAGCUAACGCAUUAAGUUCCCCGCCUGGGGAGUACGGCCGCAAGGCUAAAACUCAAAGGAAUUGACGGGGGCCCGCACAAGCGGCGGAGCAUGCGGAUUAAUUCGAUGCAACGCGAAGAACCUUACCAAGGCUUGACAUACACCGGAAACACUCAGAGAUGGGUGCCCCGCAAGGUCGGUGUACAGGUGGUGCAUGGUUGUCGUCAGCUCGUGUCGUGAGAUGUUGGGUUAAGUCCCGCAACGAGCGCAACCCUCGUUCUAUGUUGCCAGCGCGUAAAGGCGGGGACUCAUAGGAGACUGCCGGGGUCAACUCGGAGGAAGGUGGGGAUGACGUCAAAUCAUCAUGCCCCUUAUGUCUUGGGCUUCACGCAUGCUACAAUGGCCGGUACAAAGGGCUGCGAUACCGCAAGGUGGAGCGAAUCCCAAAAAACCGGUCUCAGUUCGGAUUGGGGUCUGCAACUCGACCCCAUGAAGUCGGAGUCGCUAGUAAUCGCAGAUCAGCAACGCUGCGGUGAAUACGUUCCCGGGCCUUGUACACACCGCCCGUCAAGUCACGAAAGUCGGUAACACCCGAAGCCGGUGGCCCAACCUUUUGGAGGGAGCCGUCGAAGGUGGGACUGGCGAUUGGGACUAAGUCGUAACAAGGUAGCCGUACCGGAGGUGCGGCUG